rnacentral:misc_RNA from 1 species
AUCCCUGUUAAUUUAUGUGGAGCAAGUGGUAAUCUGGAUUUAUGCUUAGAUAUGUGCAUGCCUCCAGCUGUGUUGGCAUCUUCAGAAACGUGUACAAUUAAAAAUGAGACUAAUGAUGAAAGAAAACCAGAAGAAAAGUUUAGUACAGUAUGUUCUGGUCAAAUUAAUUUUGAGGUUUCAAAGUCUUCGAGUCAAACAUGUGUGAGUUCUGAAGGAUCAGCUGAAACAACC